AUUUAUAUUGUGUUAUACACCAUUGUCGACAGAGAGGAAUUAGGUUUCGGAUUGUUCGGGUGUAGUUUUUGGAUUCCCAGAAAUCACCCAUACCGACCUAAAGUUCAAAUAAAGUGCUUUUUACCAUCUAAAGCAUUUUAGUUUUAUUGUCGCCGGAUAUAUAGAAACACCUUAAUUUUCCCGGUGAUAGUUUGGUGGAGAUAUCCUAAGGGUAUUAUACCCGGGACUGCUACAUAUACUUUGUAGCAGUUAGAUCCUGCGUACCAGCAACCGAGCGAGUUUUCCAAGAGCAUCAACAAACGCCGAUAAUACAACCCAAGAGCAGAAGAUUCAACCGCCUUUUACGACCAUAUACCAACGUCGCUGCUUUUCGAGUUUUGGACAUCCCAGGACUUGCACGGACAUACUCUACGCCUGGAUUCCAUCCAGCAUGUAACAAGAGCGGGAUGACGUCAUCCUGCGAACACUUGUUCUCGUUCUGUGUGUUUCGUGUGUGGAUUUCUUUGCCAUUAUGCUAAUAUGUUCUUUUAAGCGACCGAUUUAUUGCAUUCGAAUCCUAGGAAUAUUUUCCUGGUGUGGGGACCGACGACAAAGGUUCGUUUUAAAUAUGGUUCAGCCCAGAAUGCCGUGUUGCAGUUGUGGAUCUCCGCAAUGUAGAACACAUUUUGCAUAUUCAGGCCAAGACCUAAGCAAACGACGCUGAGAUACAGACCGCACAUUCCCUACAAAUCAUUCCGAUGAUUUUUAGACGAGGACGUCUCAUUUUUCGAAGCGCGAGGGAAUUAUCAUGGAGUGAAAUUUGAGUAACUGUUAUCUAUUCAUAAAUAUACCUUUCCCUUUGUACAAGACAAUAAUUCACUUCAGUUAUAAUUGCUUAAUUACUUUAUUAACUCUUACACCUCACCUUUGAUUUAAUUGACUCACUCAUAUUGAGGUUUUACUCUAUGACAUAUGUCACUCGUGCUUAAGUGCUAAUUUCUAUUGUUUUCAAUUCUUAUUUAUAUUGUGUUAUACACCAUUGUCGACAGAGAGGAAUUAGGUUUCGGAUUGUUCGGGUGUAGUUUUUGGAUUCCCAGAAAUCACCCAUACCGACCUAAAGUUCAAAUAAAGUGCUUUUUACCAUC
rnacentral:sRNA from 1 species